AUACGGAGGGUGCAAGCGUUAUCCGGAUUUAUUGGGUUUAAAGGGUCCGUAGGCGGAUCUGUAAGUCAGUGGUGAAAUCUCAUAGCUUAACUAUGAAACUGCCAUUGAUACUGUUAGUCUUGAGUGAUGUUGAAGUUGCUGGAAUGUGUAGUGUAGCGGUGAAAUGCUUAGAUAUUACGCAGAACACCAAUUGCGAAGGCAGGUGACUAAACAUUAACUGACGCUGAUGGACGAAAGCGUGGGGAGCGAACAGGAUUAGA
rnacentral:rRNA from 1 species